rnacentral:hammerhead_ribozyme from 1 species
AUCCAGCUGACGAGUCCCAGAAUAGGACUAAACGCGCGUCAAACUGGAU